GCGCCCACUCGACGUGCACUGGAGGGCGGAGGUCAGGGCUGGGCGGAAGCCGAGCUGGGCUCCGUCCAGCCUGGGGGGGGGAGCGUGCGCCGAGCCCAGCCUUGGAGAGCCCUGCUCCAGCCUGUUACGCCCGCCCCGCCUCCUGCGCAGACCCGCAACGGCGUAGAUGACACUUGCAGAUACCUGGGCCAGCCCUGCACCCAUGCUGUCCUUCCUCGCCCAGCCACCCACGGUGUGGCCACUGGCCAGGAUGACCUCCUUAACCCCCAGAGGGACACUCGUGUUCUCGAGGGGCGCUCAUGCAGUCCCGUGGAGGACCUGCUGAUCUCAUCCUGGAAACGCCCCAGGGAUCCCAAGGGGCCUUAGAGCACCUCUGCCAUAACAAGUGACCCUAAGGGAAGUUUGAGGUCCUUGCCGACUGGUCAGAACUGCCCUCCUGUGGUCAUACAGACUCACUGUUCGGCUGUGACUCACAGGGUUGUGUCUGGGCCAGACCAGAGUGCCGCUCACAGAGGAAAAUCCGAGUGUCUGCCCUGUUCUCACCUGUGCAGCCCCAGGGAGGUGGGGGGCCGUCCCCACCUGCUCUGCGACCCUCUGUGCUCCAUACGACCGCCUUGCCUUGCAGCUAAGCCCUGCGCCCCGCUGUUGGAAACCAGCUCCCCGCCGGCCUCCUGGAACCGGGCUCUCCACCAGAGCAGGACUUGCAGGGAACAAAGUCCACGCUUCCGGCAGAAACCCCAGGGUCUCCCCUGGACACUUGGCGACGUUGGCUUGUGGCCACCCGCCCGCCUGCCUCUAUCAGACGCUGAAGAAGCGGAGCGCAGGUUCUUCUUAGUCGUCAAUUUUAUACACAUCAGUGUAUACACGGUUUUUUUUACCAGUUGGGUUUCAUGGCCCAGCGAGGACACCCCCUCCCUGUCAGAUGCAGCCCGAGGGCCCGCCAGGGGGGAACGGCCUUCCUUCCCUCACAGCACCUGCACGAGGUCGGGUCCGCGGUGGAGGCUGAUGGAAAAGCGUCAGGAGCCCCCGUACAGUGCGGCCCGGGCACGCUCCUCCCUGGGGGUCUCU